rnacentral:rRNA from 1 species
UACGGAGGAUCCAAGCGUUAUCCGGAUUUAUUGGGUUUAAAGGGUGCGUAGGUGGAUUAAUAAGUCAGUGGUGAAAGCCUGCAGCUUAACUGUAGAACUGCCAUUGAUACUGUUAGUCUUGAAUGUAGUUGAGGUGGGCGGAAUAUGACAUGUAGCGGUGAAAUGCUUAGAUAUGUCAUAGAACACCGAUUGCGAAGGCAGCUCACUAAGCUAUAAUUGACACUGAGGCACGAAAGCGUGGGGAGCAAACAGG